rnacentral:rRNA from 1 species
GACGAACGCCGCGGCGUGCUUAACACAUGCAAGUCGAACGUGAUUUUUGUGGAAAGCUCUUCGGGGACGGAAGCGAAAUGAAAGUGGCGAACGGGUGAGUAACACGUGAGCAACCUACCUUACACAGGGGGAUAGCCGUUGGAAACGACGAUUAAUACCGCAUGAGACCACAGUACUGCAUGGUAUAGGGGUCAAAGAUUUAUCGGUGUAAGAUGGGCUCGCGUCUGAUUAGCUAGUUGGAAGGGUAAAGGCCUACCAAGGCAACGAUCAGCAGCCGGUCUGAGAGGAUGAACGGCCACAUUGGAACUGAGACACGGUCCAAACUCCUACGGGAGGCAGCAGUGGGGAAUAUUGCACAAUGGGGGGAACCCUGAUGCAGCGACGCCGCGUGAGCGAAGAAGGUUUUCGAAUCGUAAAGCUCUGUCCUAUGAGAAGAUAAUGACGGUAUCAUAGGAGGAAGCCCCGGCUAAAUACGUGCCAGCAGCCGCGGUAAUACGUAUGGGGCGAGCGUUGUCCGGAAUUAUUGGGCGUAAAGGGUACGUAGGCGGCCUUUUAAGUCAGGUGUGAAAGCGUGAGGCUUAACCUCAUUAAGCACUUGAAACUGGAAGGCUUGAGUGAAGGAGAGGAAAGUGGAAUUCCUAGUGUAGCGGUGAAAUGCGUAGAUAUUAGGAGGAAUACCGGUGGCGAAGGCGACUUUCUGGACUUUUACUGACGCUCAGGUACGAAAGCGUGGGGAGCAAACAGG